rnacentral:rRNA from 1 species
GUGCCAGCAGCCGCGGUAAUACGGAAGGUCCGGGCGUUAUCCGGAUUUAUUGGGUUUAAAGGGAGCGUAGGCGAAGCUUAAGCGUGUCGUGAAAUGCCGCGGCUCAACCGUGGCACUGCGGCGCGAACUGGGUUUCUUGAGUGUGCUGAAGGCAGGCGGAAUUCGUGGUGUAGCGGUGAAAUGCUUAGAUAUCACGAGGAACUCCGAUUGCGAAGGCAGCUUGCCGUAUCACAACUGACGCUGAAGCUCGAAGGCGCGGGUAUCGAACAGGAUUAGAUACCCUGGUAGUCCGCGCGGUAAACUAUGGAUGCUCGCUGUUGGGCAAUUCUGCUCAGCGGCCAAGCGAAAGCGUUAAGCAUCCCACCUGGGGAGUACGCCGGCAACGGUGAAACUCAAAGGAAUUGACGGGGGCCCGCACAAGCGGAGGAACAUGUGGUUUAAUUCGAUGAUACGCGAGGAACCUUACCCGGGCUUGAACUGCAGAGGAAGGAUUGAGAGAUCAUGACGCCCUUCGGGGCCUCUGUGGAGGUGCUGCAUGGUUGUCGUCAGCUCGUGCCGUGAGGUGUCGGCUUAAGUGCCAUAACGAGCGCAACCCCUGUCUUAAGUUGCCAUCGGGUGAUGCCGGGGACUCUUGAGAUACUGCCACCGCAAGGUGUGAGGAAGGUGGGGAUGACGUCAAAUCAGCACGGCCCUUACGUCCGGGGCUACACACGUGUUACAAUGGCGCGUACAGAGCGUUGGCGCUGGGCAACCAGCGUCUAAUCCCCAAAACGCGUCUCAGUUCGGACCGGGUCUGCAACCCGACCCCGCGAAGCUGGAUUCGCUAGUAAUCGCGCAUCAGCCAUGGCGCGGUGAAUACGUUCCCGGGCCUUGUACACACCGCCCGU